UACGUAGGGGGCGAGCGUUGUCCGAAGUUACUGGGCGUAAAGCGCGCGUAGGCGCCAUCUAAGUUCGGGGUGAAAGGUUCAACGCUCAACGUGAACAGUGCCCUGAAUACUGGUUGGCUUGAGUUCGGGAGGGGGCUGUGGAAUUCCGGGUGUAGCGGUGAAAUGCGUAGAUAUCCGGAGGAACACCGAUGGCGAAGGCAGCAGCCUGGCCCAGAACUGACGCUGAGGUGCGAAAGCGUGGGAGCGAACGGG
rnacentral:rRNA from 1 species